UACGUAGGGUGCAAGCGUUGUCCGGAAUUAUUGGGCGUAAAGAGCUCGUAGGCGGUUUUGUCGCGUCUGCCGUGAAAGUCCGGGGCUCAACUCCGGAUCUGCGGUGGGUACGGGCAGACUAGAGUGAUGUAGGGGGAGACUGGAAUUCCUGGUGUAGCGGUGAAAUGCGCAGAUAUCAGGAGGAACACCGAUGGCGAAGGCAGGUCUCUGGGCAUUAACUGACGCUGAGGAGCGAAAGCAUGGGGAGCGAACAGG
rnacentral:rRNA from 1 species